rnacentral:rRNA from 1 species
CAGUCGCCACGGGAAUACGGAGGGUGCAAGCGUUAAUCGGAAUUACUGGGCGUAAAGCGCACGCAGGCGGUCUGACAAGUCAGAUGUGAAAUCCCCGGGCUUAACCUGGGAACUGCAUUUGAAACUGUCAGGCUGGAGUCUUGUAGAGGGGGGUGGAAUUCCAGGUGUAGCGGUGAAAUGCGUAGAGAUCUGGAGGAAUACCGGUGGCGAAGGCGGCCCCCUGGACAAAGACUGACGCUCAGGUGCGAAAGCGUGUGGAGCAAACAGGAUUAGAUACCCCGGUAGUCCCUGUCUCUUAUAC